rnacentral:rRNA from 1 species
AGCGAACGCUGGCGGCGUGGAUAAGACAUGCAAGUCGAACGGGAUCAUUGAGGUAGCAAUAUCGCGAUGGUCUAGUGGCGAACGGGUGCGUAACACGUGGAUACAUUCCGGGAAGCGGGGGAUAGCCCAGGGAAAACUUGGAUUAAUACCGCAUGUGGUCGAAAGACUAAAGGCAGGGACCGCAAGGCCUGCCACUUCCCGAUUGGUCCGCGGCCUAUCAGCUAGUUGCGGGUAAAAGCCCACCAAGGCUACGACGGGUAGCUGGUCUUAGAGGACGACCAGCCACACUGGAACUGAGACACGGUCCAGACACCUAC